UCUCUAUAAUGAAGCUGUUUCUAAAGGAGCGGCGGCGGCCUCGUCACAGCCGUUGAUGGUGGUGAGCACGACGUUCCUGGCGAUGGGCGGCUCAGUCUCCCUCCACAGCGCCUCCACUCCCCUCUUGACUGCCGCUGGGUGCUUCGCCCUAUGCGGUAGGAAGCAGAACAGCCUCUAGUUGCUCGAUCAUUGGUCGCCAAGGCCUCCGUCGCGAUCUCCCGUUCCACCGCCGGGGUGAAGCGGGACACGGAAGGGAGCAAGCAGAAAAAACUUGCCUUUCUCGAGAUCGAACGCAUCGCAGAUAUCAUCGAGGACUUCAAUAUGGUUCUGGUUAUUAGAAUUGGCUUGAAGAUGGGAAAAAGGAAGAUUGCUGCUGCUCAAUGCAGGUAAAUAUUCUUUCAUUUGUUUGUCAAUUGACUGACAAAUGUGGACUAUCCAUUUUUCAUGUUUACUGUGGAGCACAAACUUUAGUUGUGGAAAUUUAACGCUUAAUAGCAUAUGAUAUCUGAAAGCAUAGUUUAUUUUGUGAUUUGUUUCACUCAUUCAGACGUCAAGAUCAACGAAGAAAAUGCAGAGUGAGUAUCAAUGUGACUGCAAAGUGUAUGUCAAGUGAAGCUCAAAGGCAGGGUUCAGUUGUGAAGAAUGCCAUGAGAUGUUUUCUUGACUUUCCUUUUAAUUUCUCCUUGACUUACAAGGAAGAGUAGUGAAAUUUUGAUUGGUUCUGGAAUACUAGUGAAGGGGCUAUGAGCUUCAAGCUGCAUUUGGAUUUGGAAUGUUAAGUUUGUGCUUUCUUUUA